UUUUAUCUGCAUGCCCCUCUCUUCUGAUCUUUGAGGAAAAAAGAGAAUCUCCAAGAAGAUACGCCACAUAUAAGCUGUGGUUUGGAGUACGUCCUCUCCUUGGCCACCUUCUUUAUUGUAUCCUGGGAGUACAUACACUCCAGUUUGAGGGGCACAGAGCCAGGACCGGGCACGGAGCUCAAACCCUGGCAACUUAAGGAGCACUGGAAAUGAGAGUGGGUGAGUUGACACAAAGCGCAUUCCAGUGAUCGGCUGUCGAUGCCCCGUCCUUCGCAGAGCCUUUCAGGAACUCUCAGAAGUGGUCAUUCUGCAGGCUGUACAGGAAGCAUAGCACUGGCAUCUGCUCUGCCUCUGCCUCGGUGAAGGCCUCGGGCUGCAGAAGGUGAAGGGAGUCUUCAUUUGCAGAGAUCUCCUGUGACUUUGCUAUUUAAAAUGGCCCUUAAGUGUAAUACUGAAGUGUUG